GAGAUUUCAAUGUCUGGCUCGAUCGGCGAGCCGACCGGCGCUGAUGGCGAGGAGAUGCCGCUGUCGGUGAUGGUCGAGGUGAGAGACGUCGGCGAUUCCGGGUGCUUCUUGAUGUGCAGCUCCAUUGUCUUUUUUGAGGUGCUCUCACAGAUGAAAAAAUUGCUCAAACUAGGCCAACAAAAAUCCAUGUGAUAAAUUUUGCGAUCGUCCGUACGAGAAUAUAAAUGGCAUAACACCGACUACAAUAUAUUUUCAAGUCUGAAUUUCCGAGAGGAAUGUAGAAUAUUUAUAACGGACAGCGUAAUCCAAAAUUUAGGCGAUGGUCUAUCACGGUGUCAUCCUCACCUUUUCUUCAGCGACAUCCGAAGAAAUGAAGCGCGGCAGCGUUAGCGGCGAAUGAGAAUUUCGUGGGAUUUUAAUCCAAUAAUCGACGAG